UUUCUUUUCCCUAGCUCCGUGUCCUUGUGCUGUUCUUAUCACUUUCUCCUAUGCCCAGCUUCUUCAGAGCUGGGCAGCAAGCUCUACAAUAUUUCACUUAACCCUUUCAUAGGAAAUCCAAGUUGUCCAUCUUAAUACUUAUAGAGCUGUUGGCUCUCCACAGUCAUCCACUAUGAUUGUGUUGGUGUCUGUUUGAUCUUUUAUGUCCAGUAGUGUUUUAUGAAGUUAGGCGCUCCUAGAUCCUGUGCAUAUGCAUUUUAUAAUCUCUUCACGUUGAAUUGUUUCCUUCACUAAUAUGUAGUGACUUUCUUUGCCUCUUUUGAUCAGUUUUAGUUUGAAGUUUACUUUGUCUGAGAAUAAAAUUGCUGCUUCUUCUUGUUUUGGGGGUUCUGUGCAUGGAAUAUUGUUUUUCAUGUUUUGAUUUUAACUGUAUAAAUUUUUUUUUGGAUUAGUGAGUUCAUUUGUUACAACAUGCUGUUGGAUUCUGUUAUUUGAUCCAGUCUGCAAAUCUGCGUCUUUUAAUUGGGAAGGUGAGGUGAUUCACACUGACAGUUAUUACUGAAAGGGACAGAGUUGUUUUAAACCCAAGGAAGGAAUUUUUAUUUCUGAACACAGAAAGGAAGAAAUGCUGUAUUUCCUCAUCUCGAGAGACAAUGUAUUACUCUGCACUCUUUGGGUACGUGCUCCAAAAUGAGACAAGGACAGAAAGUUCAUAUGUAGGAUGGCAACUGCAAUUCUCUGGCACUGGCAGGAGAAAACAUUUUGUCUGAUUCUCCCACUGAAAACUGGAUAAAAAGUUUAUGACUAUAGUCUAUUUGCUUCUGGAAUGAGGUCUAUUCAUCUUUUUGUUUGUUUGUUUGUUUGUACUGGGGAUCGAACUCAGGACCUUGUGCUUGCGAGACAGGCACUGGAACGACUGAGCUAAAUCACUGGCCCAGGUCUAUUCAUCUUUUAAAAUAGAAUAAUGAUUGAGAAAAAAUUUGUGAUUGAAAAAUGAGAUGAGAAAAGUCAUUUUGCAUUUCUCCUUUCACCUCUGAGGCAUACCUAAAGAAUGUGAUAAUCCCACUUGAAUCAGACCAUGAGCAUACUUCCAGUGCAAUUUGAGUCUUAAAAAUAAUGAGCCUUGUAUAGAUUUCUGUGUCCUUUAAGUGGCUGAGUGAACAUCAGAAUCUUGUAUCUUUAGCUAAGUUGGCUGAUCUCAUUCUAUAGUGGUAAUUCUACUGCAUAGACAUUGUCUUCAAAGAUGGAAAAAUAAUUCCUUUCUUCUUGAACUCUCUUAGUUCAAGUACUAAAAUUACUUCAAUUAGUUAUUUCUACAGGAGCCAUUUCUUAUAAUUCUUCUAUUGUAAAACUCACGGUAUGCUAGUGUUUAACAAUGAGUUCUUUUGAAGUGGGAGGAGAAGCUCCAAUAUGUAACAUUUGCUGAUUUAUGGCAUAAAUACUUCCCCAGCAGCAAAUGAAAUCAUUAAAGGUAGAGCUGGGAUGAGAUAUGUGUAAUAGACUCUCAACAGCUGAUGUCAGCCAGCUAUAGCACACCACCAAAUAAGACAUAUUUUUCGUAAAUGGAAACAAA